AGCGGCGGACGGGUGAGUAACGCGUGGGUAACCUGCCCUAUACACACGGAUAACAUACCGAAAGGUAUGCUAAUACGAGAUAAUAUAAGAGAUUCACAUGGAUUUCUUAUCAAAGCUGAGGCGGUAUAGGAUGGACCCGCGUCUGAUUAGCUAGUUGGUAAGGUAACGGCUUACCAAGGCGACGAUCAGUAGCCGACCUGUGAGGGUGAUCGGCCACAUUGGAACUGAGACACGGUCCAAACUCCUACGGGAGGCAGCAGUGGGGAAUAUUGCACAAUGGGCGAAAGCCUGAUGCAGCAACGCCGCGUGAGUGAUGAAGGCCUUCGGGUCGUAAAACUCUGUCCUCAAGGAAGAUAAUGACGGUACUUGAGGAGGAAGCCCCGGCUAACUACGUGCCAGCAGCCGCGGUAAUACGUAGGGGGCUAGCGUUAUCCGGAUUUACUGGGCGUAAAGGGUGCGUAGGUGGUCUCUUAAGUCAGGAGUGAAAGGCUACGGCUUAACCGUAGUAAGCUCUUGAAACUGGGAGACUUGAGUGCAGGAGAGGAAAGUGGAAUUCCUAGUGUAGCGGUGAAAUGCGUAGAUAUUAGGAGGAACACCAGUAGCGAAGGCGGCUUUCUGGACUGUAACUGACACUGAGGCACGAUAGCGUGGGGAGCAAACAGGAUUAGAUACCCUGGUAGUCCACGCCGUAGCGAUGAGUACUAGGUGU
rnacentral:rRNA from 1 species